rnacentral:rRNA from 1 species
AUGGAAACUAUGGAGGUAAAGAGAGUUUACCUGAAGACCGAGCAUGGUUAUACUUUCAACGUCAAAUUAUACAAUGCAGACACGUACACCUAUUUUGAAUGCAAAACUUGGCAAGCACUAUGCAAGGCUUAUGCAUUUGAGCCUGAUAUGGUUAUCACCUUUGAUAUUCGUCCGGAAGAUGAUAUUGAAGGUAAUAGAGACAUCUGGGUCGAUGUGCAGACGCCUCCAGUUCUGCCAUUAUGUGAGUUUCUCAACCAUAUUUAUGUCUUUGAUAUUGUUUAUUCAAAAAUAGUUGACAACUAA